GAUGAACGCUGGCGGCGUGCCUAAUACAUGCAAGUCGAGCGAACAGACGAGGAGCUUGCUCCUCUGACGUUAGCGGCGGACGGGUGAGUAACACGUGGAUAACCUACCUAUAAGACUGGGAUAACUUCGGGAAACCGGAGCUAAUACCGGAUAAUAUAUUGAACCGCAUGGUUCAAUAGUGAAAGACGGUUUUGCUGUCACUUAUAGAUGGAUCCGCGCCGCAUUAGCUAGUUGGUAAGGUGACGGCUUACCACGGCAACGAUGCGUAGCCGACCUGAGAGGGUGAUCGGCCACACUGGAACUGAGACACGGUCCAGACUCCUACGGGAGGCAGCAGUAGGGAAUCUUCCGCAAGGGGCGAAAGCUUGACGGAGCAACGCCGCGUGAGUGAUGAAGGUCUUCGGAUCGUAAAACUCUGUUAUUAGGGAAGAACAAAUGUGUAAGUAACUAUGCACGUCUUGACGGUACCUAAUCAGAAAGCCACGGCUAACUACGUG
rnacentral:rRNA from 1 species